UAAAUUUUCUACUGUAGUCUAAAAUGUUGAUAAGUAUCAAUCCAAAGGUACAUAUAAACUCAUAUAUUACAUGGAAUUCACACUCUUCCUUAUCUGUGUUUACAAUCCAAAUCAUUAAGCUACAUAAAGAGGUAGGGCAAUAAAUAUAGCUAUAGAAAUGCUUUACUACAAAAUUUUAAAAGAUAAGACUCUUUAGGUAAUUAUAAACCAAACAACAAAAAAAUAAACAGGAAACUCGAAGAGUUAAAUAUAAAACUAAUAGAGAUAUUUACUAACCUAAGCGAAGAAAAGGGGGAAAAGGUGGAGAUGGACACGGAAUUAAAAAAACUGUUAGGGGUCAUAAAAUCCACCAACAACAAAAAAGAAGACGACAGUAUAGCCGAAAAAACACAACAAGAAGUAAAAUGCGACCACUGCAAGCUAAAAGUGGGACAAGAAAGACAGAAAGAAGAGCAAGAAAAAAUUAAAAGGGCUCUAAACAUGGGGGGAGGAAAAAAAACUUCAUGAGUAUAUGUAAUAGUAAAUGGGAGGAGAAAGCAUAUAUAAAGACAAA
rnacentral:lncRNA from 1 species